rnacentral:rRNA from 1 species
GACGAACGCUGGCGGCGUGCUUAACACAUGCAAGUCGAACGGAAAGGCCCUGCUUUUGUGGGGUGCUCGAGUGGCGAACGGGUGAGUAACACGUGAGUAACCUGGCCUUGACUUUGGGAUAACUUCAGGAAACUGGGGCUAAUACCGGAUAGGAGCUCCUGCUGCAUGGUGGGGGUUGGAAAGUUUCGGCGGUUGGGGAUGGACUCGCGGCUUAUCAGCUUGUUGGUGGGGUAGUGGCUGACCAAGGCUUUGACGGGUAGCCGGCCUGAGAGGGUGACCGGCCACAUUGGGACUGAGAUACGGCCCAGACGCCUACGGGAGGCAGCAGUGGGGAAUAUUGCACAAUGGGCGGAAGCCUGAUGCAGCAACGCCGCGUGCGGGAUGACGGCCUUCGGGUUGUAAACCGCUUUCGCCUGUGACGAAGCGUGAGUGACGGUAAUGGGUAAAGAAGCACCGGCUAACUACGUG